rnacentral:lncRNA from 1 species
UCUUUCGUUUUACCACUCAAUGUGCAGUUUUCCACUAUUAGCCACGCCCCCGUGCUAACGCCGCGCUCCACUUGCUCUGCCAGGCGCGGCUGCUCCUCUGCAGGACAAGACUCCUCUCUCCUCCUCUCUCCUCCUCCUCCUUCACAGCUCCAGACUCCUCUCUCCUCCUCCUCAACAGCUCCAGACUCCUCUCUCCUCCUCCUCUCUCCUCCUCCUUCACAGCUCCAGACUCCUCUCUCCUCCUCCUCCUCCUCCACAGCUCCAGACUCCUCUCUACUCCUCCUCCUCCUCCACAGCUCCAGACUCCUCUCUCCUCCUCCUCCACAGCUCCAGACUCCUCUCUCCUCCUCCUCAACAGCUCCAGACUCCUCUCUCUCCUCCUCUCUCCUCCUCCUCCUUCACAGCUCCAGACUCCUCUCUCCUCCUCCUCAACAGCUCCAGACUCCUCUCUCCUCCUCCUCUCUCCUCCUCCUUCACAGCUCCAGACUCCUCUCUCCUCCUCCUCCUCCACAGCUCCAGACUCCUCUCUACUCCUCCUCCUCCUCCACAGCUCCAGACUCCUCUCUCCUCCUCCUCCACAGCUCCAGACUCCUCUCUCCUCCUCCUCCACAGCUCCAGACUCCUCUCUCCUCCUCCUCUCUCCUCUCUCCUCCUCCUCCACAGUUCCAGACUCCUCUCUCCUCCUCUCUCCUCCUCCUCCACAGCUCCAGACUCCUCUCUCCUCCACAGCUCCAGACUCCUCUCUCCUCCUCCUCUCUCCUCCUCCUCCACAGCUCCAGACUCCUCUCUCCUCCUCCUCCACAGCUCCAGACUCCUCUCUCCUCCUCCUCUCUCCUCCUCCUCCUCCACAGCUCCAGACUCCUCUCUCCUCCUCCUCUCUCCUCCUCCUCCUCCUCCACAGCUCGAGACUCCUCUCUCCUCCUCCUCCACAGCUACAGACUCCUCUCUCCUCCUCCUCUCUCCUCCUCCUCCACAGCUCCAGACUCCUCUCUCCUCCUCCUCUCUCCUCCUCCACAGCUCCAGACUCCUCUCUCCUCCUCCUCUCUCCUCCUCCUCCACAGCUCCAGACUCCUCUCUCCUCCUCCUCUCUCCUCCUCCUCCUCCUCCACAGCUCCAGACUCCUCUCUCCUCCUCCUCCACAGCUCCAGACUCCUCUCUCCUCCUCCUCCUCUCUCCUCCUCCUCCACAGCUCCAGACUCCUCUCUCCUCCUCCUCUCUCCUCCUCCACAGCUCCAGACUCCUCUCUCCUCCUCUCUCCUCCUUCUCCACAGCUCCAGACUCCUCUCUCAUCCUUCUCCACAGCUCCAGACUCCUCUCUCCUCCUCCUCCACAGCUCCAGACUCCUCUCUCCUCCUCCUCCACAGCUCCAGAUUCCUCUCUCCUCCUCCUCUCUCCUCCUCCUCCUCCUCCACAGCUCCAGACUCCUCUCUCCUCCUCCUCCACAGCUACAGACUCCUCUCUCCUCCUCCUCCUCUCUCCUCCUCCUCCACAGCUCCAGACUCCUCUCUCCUCCUCCUCUCUCCUCCUCCUCCACAGCUCCAGACUCCUCUCUCCUCCUCCUCUCUCCUCCUCCUCCUCCUCCACAGCUCCAGACUCCUCUCUCCUCCUCCUCCACAGCUCCAGACUCCUCUCUCCUCCUCCUCCUCUCUCCUCCUCCUCCACAGCUCCAGACUCCUCUCUCCUCCUCCUCUCUCCUCCUCCACAGCUCCAGACUCCUCUCUCCUCCUCUCUCCUCCUCCUCCACAGCUCCAGACUCCUCUCUCAUCCUUCUCCACAGCUCCAGACUCCUCUCUCCUCCUCCUCCACAGCUCCAGACUCCUCUCUCCUCCUCCUCCACAGCUCCAGAUUCCUCUCUCCUCCACAGCUCCAGACUCCUCUCUCCUCCUCCUCUCCUCCUCCUCCUCCUCCACAGCUCCAGACUCCUCUCUCCUCCUCCUCCACAGCUCCAGACUCCUCUCUCCUCCUCCUCCACAGCUCCAGACUCCUCUCUCCUCCUCCUCCACAGCUCCAGACUCCUCUCUCCUCCACAGCUCCAGACUCCUCUCUCCUCCUCCUCUCUCCUCCUCCUCCUCCUCCUCCACAGCUCCAGACUCCUCUCUCCUCCUCCUCUCUCCUCCUCCUCCUCCUCCUCCACAGCUCCAGACUCCUCUCUCCUCCUCCUCCUCUCUCCUCCUCCUCCUCCUCCACAGCUCCAGACUCCUCUCUCCUCCUCCUCUCCCCAGUUUAGCCUGGAUCUGGGACAGCAGGCCUGGUGGCCCUAAACAGGCCAAACGGUGCCACAGCAGUGAGACGACCAGGUCUCCUCCAGGUUGGACCUUGAGGGAGAACGGGGAGGCCCAGCCAGGGCCUCACUCUUAA